AGCUUGAAGUUCUUUAUUUUAAGUGAAACCUGCCCAGUGCUAUAUGUAAACGGCCGCAGUACCCUGACUGUGCUAAGGUAGCAUAAUCAGUUGGCUUUUAAUUGGAGUCGGGUAUGAAUGGAUUCAUAGGGUGGAGCUGUCUCCUCUGUAUUUUUUUGAAUUUAUUUAUUAGGUGAAAAUACCUAAGUUAAGAAAAAAGACGAGAAGACCCUAGGAGUUUUGAUUAUUAAUCGAUUUGAAUCGGUCUCGUUUUUGUUGGGGCGACAUAGGAGCAUAUAUUUAAAUUAAACCUCCUUAAACUUAUUUGCCGACACUAAGUAUGUUUAAAUAAACUACCCUAGGGAUAACAGCGUAAUUCUUAAGAGCUUGCGACCUCGAUGUUGGACUAGGAAUUUUUUAGGCUAGCCGCCUAUUUAUAUUGUUCUGUUCGAACUAUUUUUCC
rnacentral:rRNA from 1 species